rnacentral:lncRNA from 1 species
CAGGCCCUGGGUGCAGGCAACAGCCUACCUGCUAGCAGGAGCCUUAAUUCCUUAGCUACAGACCCCACGGAAAGGCCCCAGCUUUCUCAAGAGAGAUGCUUCAGUUGUAUAGCUGAGAGUCACAAAGGUUUGGAAAAGAGCCCGAGGCCACACAACUGUCACAUGCGUGAUUCAGCAAAGACUCCGAAGCCUCAAAGAUUUGGUCACCACGUCCGGGCUGGCCUCAGACCAUCCGGCCACUGAGACGGAGCCACCUGCUGUGCUGCUUCUCAUCCCUCUCCUUUGUUGUGCCACUACCUGCCUGAGGCCGAACCUGCCCGAGGCCGAACCGGUUCUCCGAGAUUUUCCGGAGUUAGCAAGGAACUGUGAUCGAACUGUGAUCUUCGCUAGUUCCUACUAAAAGGUUGAUCUGACUACUUCAAAGGAACUUUGGGUGACUGGGAAUGGGCCUCCCCUCUUCUUUAUAAAGCGUGUUCCCGGA